rnacentral:rRNA from 1 species
AGUAAAUAGAUACCCGGGUAGUCCACGCCGUAAACGAUGAGUACUAGGUGUAGGAGGUAUCGACUCCUUCUGUGCCGCAGUUAAACACAAUAAGUACUCCGCCUGGGAAGUACGGUCGCAAGAUUAAAACUCAAAGGAAUUGACGGGGCCCGCACAAGCAGCGGAGCAUGUGGUUUAAAAUUUACGAAGCAGCGCGAAGAAACCUUACCCUAGACUUGACAUCUCCUGAAUAGUGUAGAGAUACAUGAAGCCCUUCGGGUCGAGGAAGGACAGGUGGUGCAUGGUUGGUCGUCAGCUCGUGUCGUGAGAUGUU